CGAGAUGGGUCGAAAAUCGGAUGGAAUUCCCCGAAGUUUUUUUUACCACUGAUGCUGAGAAAAAGGUAUCAAUAUGUAAAAUAUGUAACGCGACGUUUUCGGGUAAUUAUGUUAGCAAUUUAAAACGCCAUUUGGAAAGUCGUCAUCCAAGUGAGUAUGGCUUGGAAAUUUCUGAAGAUAGCCACGGAUGCCCGCAAAAGAAGAUUAAGUUUUCUUCCUCGUUGAGCAAGGGCGAAGUUAAAGAUGCGUGUGUGGAGCUAGUGACGACUGAAAAGUUGCCAUUCUCGGUAUUGGACUCAAACGGUUUUAGAGUCUUAACGGGGCACAUAUUUAAAGGACUGGAUAUGCCCGUUGCAAAUUCUCGAAACAUAAUGACUUUGGUGGAGGACAAAUAUGAGAACCUCAAAUUAAAAAUUAUUUCAUCGCUCCAAAAAAAAAUAAUAAGUUUAAAGAUGGAUACAGCGACUAGGUGCGGCCGUGGAAUAUUGGGGUUAAAUGUUCAAUUUUACCAUGACAGAAAACUGUGCAUACGGACUCUGAGCUUUAUUGAGCUAGAUAAGGCUCAUACCUCGCAAAAUUUGUGCUCAGAAAUAAACUUAGUAUUGUCCGAAUUUGGUAUAGAAAGCAACCAAUUAUAUUCCGUUACCACCGACAACGGUCGAAACAUGAUAAAAGCUGUUCAUUUAAUGAAUGACGACUGUACAGAUUAUGAUAACGACUGCGAUUAUGCUUCUGACUUGACGAACCAGGAUGAUGAUGAGCUUCUGACAGACAUUGAUAUCAAGUCUAUUAAAUCAAUCAAAUGCGCAGCGCACACCUUGCAGCUAGCCGUAAAGGAUUUCUAUCAAAUGUUAGGUUCAAUGGAUGGUAUUGACAAAGCUCGAAAGCUUGUCAAGCACCUUAGAACUCCUACGUUUAGGUAAGUUUUUGGCCUUUUUUUUUGCGAAAUUAAUAUUAUUCCCAUUAAGAUAUUUGAUAAAAACAAAUUCCCUACCGCAACCUGAGCUUGAUGCUAAAGAAACUUAUAAAGUUCAAGAGCUUUUGUAAGGAUGCUGUGAAGCCUGAAAUAAAUCUUCAAAACUUUGAAUGGACUGAGAUAGAAUGCCUUGUAAGUUCGUUGGAGCCACUGUACAGUGCAACUUUGAAAUUACAAAGUGCCCAGCUGUUUAUGGGAGAUUUUUAUAAGGCCUGGCUAGAACUAAAACUGUUGGUGAAAGCAUCGAAGUCAUCCCAUAGCGCCCAAUUGCUACAAUGUAUUGAAAAACGGGAGCAAUCGCUGAUGGAUAAUUACGUCGUCGUGAGCAGCAUUUACUUGGAUCCAAGAAUCAGAAGAGUUUUGAUCAAAAGGCCAUCUAGCAUCAUGCUAGCAAAAGUCGCUCUGAAGAAACUUAUGGGUAAAAUUUUAUCAAUAAAUCGAAGCGUCUCUGAAGCUAUAUUGACUGAACAGCCAACAACAUCUUGUCAUGCUGCAAACAAUGUCCAGGACCCACCUGAAUCUUGCAUGCUCACUGAAUAUUUAAAUUCAAUCGAAAACGAAAAUGGAACAGAUGAAUAUGACGAUAUAGAUACCAAUUUAAAAUCCGCGUUCCGUGAAAUUGAGGAAUGCAACCCUAGGCCAGUACCAAUAGAUGUACAAAUUAUGGAGUAUUGGGAGCAGAAAAAAUUCCAGUUACCAAAUCUUUACCAGUUGGCUAAGGUGGUACACGCCGUGCCCGCCACGCAAGUGAGCGUGGAAAGAAGCUUUUCGGCCCUCAAAAUGGUGUUAACUGAUCUUCGCUGCAAUUUAUCGCCAAUAGCUUUAAAAAAACUUUUAUUUGUAAAACUAAACAAUAUAUAAAAUUUUUACAGGAAUUUCUUUAAA